AUUGAACGCUGGCGGCAGGCCUACCACAUGCAAGUCGCACGAGUGGCGGACGGGUGAGUAAUGUCUGGGAAACUGCCUGAUGGAGGGGGAUAACUACUGGAAACGGUAGCUAAUACCGCAUCCCAUCGGAUGUGCCCAGAUGGGAUUAGCUAGUAGGUGGGGUAAAGGCUCACCAAGGCGACGAUCCCUAGCUGGUCUGCGAGGCUGACCAGCCACACUGGAACUGAGACACGGUCCAGACUCCGACGGGAGGCAGCAGUAGGGAAUAUUGCACAAUGGGCGAAAGCCUGAUGGAGCAAUGCCGCGUGUAUGAAGAAGGUCUUCGGGUUGUAAAGUACUGUUAGCGGAGAGGCGGUAUCCGCAGAGGAAGCACCGGCUAACUCCGUGCCAGCAGCCGCGGUAAUUC
rnacentral:rRNA from 1 species